rnacentral:rRNA from 1 species
UACGUAGGGUGCGAGCGUUAAUCGGAAUUACUGGGCGUAAAGCGUGCGCAGGCGGUCUGUUAAGACCGAUGUGAAAUCCCCGGGCUUAACCUGGGAACUGCAUUGGUGACUGGCAGGCUUUGAGUGUGGCAGAGGGAGGUAGAAUUCCACGUGUAGCAGUGAAAAUGCGUAGAGAUGUGGAGGAAUACCGAUGGCGAAGGCAGCCCCCUGGGCUAACACUCGACGCUCAGGCACGAAAGCGUGGGGAGCAAACAGG